CAGCCGGUGCCCCUGGUGGUGGUGGUACGUCAGGGACCUCGCGAAGUGGAACGGCUUCUUGCCGCAGCUCCCGCUCCCUCCUCCUCCUCCACCACUCAUAGCCGCCUUGCUGCAGCCAUCCUCCAUCUCACUCCGCCGGCGCUCAGCCGCCGCCGCCGCCGUAGAAGCUGAGGCGAAGUUCCGUUCGGUUCUUGGCUAUGGCGGUUGCCGCGAGGCGAGGAAAGGGGAAAAGAAAGGAAGCGAAUUGGGGAAAGCGAGAAUGGAAUUAGCCGUGAACGUGGGGUUUAGUGGCGUAUAAAUAUUUUCUUCUGAAGCUGAAUUUUUCUGACGGUAUUCUUGUUCUUGUUUCCCUUUUCCCGUUUUUUCAGAGGUGGUUUUGUUUGUUUGUUUGUUUUUUUCCCCAAUAGUAGCAUUAGCACUAAUGAUAUCUGGUGAUUAGUUAACAACUAUGAGUUAAUAAUUUACAGGUUCAGAGCUGGGUACUUAAUUCUGUUUGGGUUGUUUUUGAGUUGCAACAACAUUUUUUGCCGUUUCUUCCCUUAAUUCUGAAGCAUUUGUUUGUUCAAUUGGUUAGUUUUGUUGGCUGUGAAUAGACUGGUUUGGGUGUUGGAGUCGAAACCCGUUAAUGCAUGGCUUUGUGCAGCCAGAAAGAAGGUUCCUGAAUAUGUAUGUCAUGGUCAACCUGAACGAGAGGCUGUCAUUUUACUCCUCUAACACAUUUUCC
rnacentral:lncRNA from 1 species